rnacentral:rRNA from 1 species
AUUGAACGCUGGCGGCAUGCCUUACACAUGCAAGUCGAACGGCAGCGGACCUUCGGGUGCCGGCGAGUGGCGAACGGGUGAGUAAUAUAUCGGAACGUGCCUUUCAGUGGGGGAUAACGUAGCGAAAGUUACGCUAAUACCGCAUAUUCUCUGAGGAGGAAAGCAGGGGACCUUCGGGCCUUGCGCUGAUAGAGCGGCCGAUAUCAGAUUAGCUAGUUGGUGGGGUAAAGGCCUACCAAGGCGACGAUCUGUAGCGGGUCUGAGAGGAUGAUCCGCCACACUGGGACUGAGACACGGACCAGACUCCUACGGGAGGCAGCAGUGGGGAAUUUUGGACAAUGGGCGAAAGCCUGAUCCAGCCAUGCCGCGUGAGUGAAGAAGGCCUUCGGGUUGUGAAGCUCUUUCGGCCGGGAAGAAAUCGCACAGGCUAAUACCUUGUGUGGAUGACGGUACCGGAAUAAGAAGCACCGGCUAACUACGUGCCAGCCGCCGCAGUAAGAC